GACGAACGCUGGCGGCGUGCUUAACACAUGCAAGUCGAACGGUAAGGCCCUUCGGGGUACACGAGUGGCGAACGGGUGAGUAACACGUGGGUGAUCUGCCCUGCACUUCGGGAUAAGCCUGGGAAACUGGGUCUAAUACCGGAUAGGACCACUGCCUGCAUGGGUGGUGGUGGAAAGCUUUUGCGGUGUGGGAUGGGCCCGCGGCCUAUCAGCUUGUUGGUGGGGUGAUGGCCUACCAAGGCGACGACGGGUAGCCGGCCUGAGUGGGUGACCGGCCACACUGGGACUGAGGUACGGCCCAGAAUCCUACGGGAGGCAGCAGUGGGGAAUAUUGCACAAUGGGCGCAAGCCUGAUGCAGCGACGCCGCGUGAGGGAUGACGGCCUUCGGGUUGUAAACCUCUUUCAGCACCGACGAAGCGCAAGUGACGGUAGGUGCAGAAGAAGGACCGGCCAACUACGUGCCAGCCGCCGCAGUAA
rnacentral:rRNA from 1 species